UACGGGGGGGGCAAGCGUUGUUCGGAAUUACUGGGCGUAAAGGGCUCGUAGGCGGCCAACUAAGUCAGACGUGAAAUCCCUCGGCUUAACCGGGGAACUGCGUCUGAUACUGGUUGGCUUGAAUCCGGGAGAGGGAUGUGGAAUUCCAGGUGUAGCGGUGAAAUGCGUAGAUAUCUGGAGGAACACCGGUGGCAAAGGCGGCAUCCUGGACCGGUAUUGACGCUGAGGAGCGAAAGCCAGGGGAGCGAACGGG
rnacentral:rRNA from 1 species